rnacentral:rRNA from 1 species
GAUGAACGCUGGCGGCGUGCUUAACACAUGCAAGUCGAACGGACUUUUAUUGAAGCCUAGCGAUAUAAAAGUUAGUGGCGGACGGGUGAGUAACGCGUGAAUAACCUGCCUUAUACUGGGGGACAACAGUUGGAAACGACUGCUAAUACCGCAUAAGCGCACGGUUCCGCAUGGAACAGUGUGAAAAACUCCGGUGGUAUAAGAUGGAUUCGCGUCUGAUUAGAUAGUUGGUGAGGUAACGGCUCACCAAGUCGACGAUCAGUAGCCGGCCUGAGAGGGUGAACGGCCACAUUGGGACUGAGACACGGCCCAAACUCCUACGGGAGGCAGCAGUGGGGAAUAUUGCACAAUGGGGGAAACCCUGAUGCAGCGACGCCGCGUGAGUGAAGAAGUAUUUCGGUAUGUAAAGCUCUAUCAGCAGGGAAGAAAAUGACGGUACCUGACUAAGAAGCCCCGGCUAACUACGUGCCAGCAGCCGCGGU